UUUUAGUUUAUUUAUUUGACAAGGACAUUGCACAACAAAUGUGUUGCACAGACCAGAUUUAGCUACAAGCUAAUUUUCACCUAUUGUCCCCGAGCAGAAGCAAGAAACAGCAGGUCACAAUAUACUCUUCUCUACAAUUUUAAAACAGUAA